AAGAAAAAAAGAAAAAAAAAAGUCAUAUAGCCAAAUGACAGUGUCCUAAAUGGAAUGGGGAUUUUUGUACAAUACAACAAAACCCAGUGGUCUGGAAGUGACAUGUAUGAUUUUUUUUUUUUUUUAAUGCCGACUCCAAUUCCCAACCCCCAGGCGCAGAGUAAGAAAAUGAGCUGGAACUGUCUCCUGAAGCCUGUCAAUGUGAGAUGCCUUGCUCUCCCUUUGCCUUCUGCCAUGAUUGUAACCUUCCUGAGGCCUUACCAGAAGCGCAUGCCGGUGCUAUGCUUCCUGUACAGCCUGCAGAACGGCUCAUAGGCAGAAGGGACUUGACUUGUCUCAGAUGAGACACUGGACUGUGGACUUGAGUUAAUGUGGAAAUGAAUUAAGACUUUGAGGAACUGUUGCGAAGGUGCAGGAAGUUAGCCAGAUGAUCAAGACACCUCCAGCCUUUCUAUAGAGGAAGCAGGGAACAGGAAAAGAAGACAUUCUAAUCCAACGAACGUAUGUCCAUGAGCAAACUCUCGUUCAUGCCAGGUAAUGAGGUUUAUCUGAACCUCAAAUCCAGACCAGGUGAUAAAAUUUGUUUGAACUUUAAAUCCAGACCAUUUCUUUUCAUUAGGAGAUUUAGUAUUAGUCAAUUGUCACUAGAAUCAGAGCUCCAGGGACCAGAUUUGUGUCUUCACUGUUGUAUCCCAACACUCAUCACAGUUCUGAGAUGUAGCAGUGGCAGCAGCAAGCAGGCAGCAUUUAUUGAAUAAACAUCACCAUCUGUAAACCUCUUUGUAAUGACAGUAUGCUUUUUGAGGCUUUCUAAAGCCUUUGUUGGUGAGAAGGACCCAAGAAAAAAGGGAUGCUCCGAGAACACAACAAAUCUCUCUGGAGCCUUUUCCUGUGAUGGUGGCAGUGGGAGACAGAUGACAUGGGAGUGAGUUCUUUGUGAAAGUUUUGUUUGGAGGCCCCUGGAGUUAAAAUGGAACUAAACUUUCAUCACUGCAUGUGAUGGAGUGUUACGUUUGUUUAAUGAGCCCUUGCAUUUUCUCUCAUUUUCCCAUUGUCUUCAGCUAUAGGUCUGAGGAGGGAGAUUGUGCGGAAACAGAGAUUUCGGAGAGGGAAGGCUCAUGGCAUGAAUGAGACGUGCCUGAAAACGCUGCCUGGCAUGUCUUCACAGCAUCACACAGGUGGAAAGAGGGGAGAGGAAGAGACAAGGGUGGGGUAAAGGCUAUGGGAGGAGGUUAGCUAUUUGCUACUGCAUGUUUUUAUAUCUGCUGAAAACGUACAAUUACACAGCAUGCUGAUUUAAAUUUGCUUUAGCACCAGAGAUAAAAUUCUCAGAAGAAAGAUUAUCAACUUGCCUGUUUAUUAAAAAUCAAGCAAGCUGUGGCUGGAAAUGUUUAAACUAAAACUUAGACUCUUUGAGGGAAACCAAGCUGAACUAUCAUUGCUCAAGGGACUGUGUGCAUUUUCUCAUUAUUGCUGGUGUACUUUGUCAGCGUGAGUGACACCCUUCUCUCCUCUGGCCUUCUGCUCCACUGGCUCGUGGCUAUUAUCCAUUCUCAAGGUGAAGCUAUUAAUAAGAGUGUUGUCAUUUGGAAGCCUGAGAGUGUGAGAAUCUUUCCCUUUAGCUCCUGAUUCUGAAUAAUGUUCACAAGCAAUCCAAGCCCAUGCUUUCACCUAUGAUGUCAAUAUAGUUCUCAUGCUUUUAUUUGUUUCACCUUACUGGGCCUCUGUUUUCUCAUCUAUUAAAUGGAGAAACUAGAUAGUUCUGUUUCCUUCUAGUCCUAAUGUCCCACAGCAUCUAUGAUGGGACUAUCUUGGGAAGAGAACAAAAAGAGAUCAUUAAUGGGGUGCCUCAUUUUAAGUAUAAAAAGUAUGUGCCCAGAAAACUGUAUUUUGAACCUGCCAAAAAUGGUUUCUGAAAGAAAUUUUUGGUGACUUGUUUUGGAAAGUUCUUUUCUCCAAUCUCACCUAAUUUGAUUUGCUUUGAUAGCUUGACUUAAAAUAACCACUUAUCUGUGGUUUUCUGUCUAUAAAAUGUAUACUUGUUUUGCCAUGUGCUUGUUAAAUGAUAAAAGCAUCAAUAAAAUUCUUUAUCUCCAUGGUGCUGUGUGGAAAUCAUCUGAAGAGAGUUAAAUAUACCAUACCUGCCUCUGGGAAUUUGUCUGGUGUAGCAGUUGCAUGUAUAGAUAAAGGGAAAAAAACAAGUUCUUAAAUUAUAUUAUUUAAAUUGAGUUAUAAGAAACAGCAAAUGGGUGAUUCUGCGUGAAUUUUUUAUGUAGUGGAAGGGAAAAGGUGCCAUCUCCUAUAGUAAAUCAAAGAGCACAGCAUGAAGGACAUCAGAAUUUAUGAACCACAAGGGGAAAGAGUGAAGCCUCAUCAAUUUGUAAAGAAGGAAGCUUGGGCAUCUGAUGACAUCUGGAAGACUUGA